CAAACCAAAGUGCGCUAGUUCGUUAGUGCUCCGUUUGUGCAGCUUUCGUCUUUGAGAUAUUAAAAGUUAUAAUUUUGGCCGGUGACGUCACCGUCACCCCAUCUUGCGCCAAAACAAACCAAAGUGGGCUACUUCUUUUAAUUCUUCAGAUUUUCAGCUGUUGUACAAUGUGUACCUUUUGUUUUGAACUUCAAUAAAGACUUAGAACAA